UACGUAGGGGGCAAGCGUUGUCCGGAAUCAUUGGGCGUAAAGCGCGCGUAGGCGGCCCGGUAAGUCCGCUGUGAAAGUCAAAGGCUCAACCUUUGAAUGCCGGUGGAUGCUGUCGGGCUAGAGUCCGGAAGAGGCGAGUGGAAUUCCUGGUGUAGCGGUGAAAUGCGCAGAUAUCAGGAGGAACACCGGUGGCGAAGGCAGCUCGCUGGGACGGUACUGACGCUGAGACGCGAAAGCGUGGGGAGCAAACAGG
rnacentral:rRNA from 1 species